AAUCUUUCUUGGUUGAAGUGAAAUGGACAGACAGUUACCCUGAUGAGCUCCCAAAUGUCAACCUUGAUGCAUUUUAUAACAACCAUAUUCUGCCACCAGUGAAGCAGCAUGUGGUCAGCCAGGUGCAGGAGCAGGCUGAGGCCAUGCUUGGCAUGUCCAUGACAUUUACUCUCUUCGAGUGGGUCAAGGAAAAUGUCACAGACCUCAUGGAGCAACAGACUUUGGCCCCUGUGAUGGCGGAGGUCACCGAGGAGGUGGAGGAGCUCAGUAUAACACAGGACGGUCCUGGUCGGAAGGAGAAACGGGAGCAGCUAUCGAAGCAGCAGAAGCG